GUCACAAUCUUGACUCCAACUUCAGGGUCUGGCUGCUCAGGACAAGUCCACUCAGGAUGCCACAGCAGAGGCACUCCACCAACCCCAGGAGUGUCCUACUCACCCGGAAAGAAUCCAUCAUUGAGAAGGUCUCAGACCAGAACUGCAGGAUCCCAUCUUUGGUGACAGUCAGGAAACAGCCUAUCUUUUUGAACCCUUGGGUUAAAAACGCCACUUUCACAACCUCGCUCCCAUGGUGCCUGCCGAUGGCAAGAAACAUGCAGAUUUUAAACACCCUUGAGAUCUGAAGAAACAGAAAGACCAGUGAAGAAGUUACAUCAAGCCAACCAUUCAUGUCAAAAUUACAGUUAUAAAAACUCUCAUUAUUCACGUUUAA